rnacentral:rRNA from 1 species
UACGAAGGGGGCUAGCGUUGUUCGGAAUUACUGGGCGUAAAGCGUGCGCAGGCGGCUUCUCAAGUCAGGGGUGAAAGCCCAGAGCUCAACUCUGGAAUUGCCUUUGAGACUGAGUGGCUUGAGUACGGGAGAGGUGAGUGGAAUUCCCAGUGUAGAGGUGAAAUUCGGUAAGAUAUUGGGAAGAACACCGGUGGCGAAGGCGGCUCACUGGCCCGUAACUGACGCUCAUGCACGACAGCGUGGGGAUCAAACAGG